AUGGGAAGAUUCCAAUCCCAACAUUACAAAAGCCAUGAUAAGCCAGAAAGGCAACCGCCGAGGACGAUGACUCAGAUGCUUUUGCUCUUGCUGUACGGCUGCGUGUUUCUUUUGGCCACAGAGUCCUGCAGGACGUUAUGCCAGGCUGCCAACAAGAGCAAGGAGCAGGUGUCUACCAGGCCACACGGUGAAUGCCAUGGCACUUGUGUGGACAAUUCCUACUGCAGCCAACCUUGCCCUCCAGACACUCCCGGGGAUAUGGGGUUUUUAUGCAGGCAAAAGAAAUGGCACAAAGUCACUGACACCUGUCGUACUCUCACUGCCUUCAACAUCUUCGAGGCAGAUUUAAAUUCGGUUCAAACAUUUGGAGGAUCAAAAAUAAGCGAAUAUACCCACAAGCCUGAGACUAUUACAGAUUUGUUAAUGGAAAAGUGUCCACAGGAUCUGUCCUGCGUGAUUCGGAACAUUCAGAAGUCUCCCCGGAUUCCGGGAAACAUUGCUGUGAUUGUGCAGCUCUUACACAACAUCUCCACUGUGCCAAUGACGGAUGUUGAUGAGGCAAAGAUGCAGAGUUACAGCAUCAUGGCCAACCACAUUCUAAAUAGCAAAAGCAUCUCAAACUGGACCUUCAUCCCGGAAAGAAACAGCAGCUGUGUCCUGCUACAUUCAAUAAAUUCCUUCGCAAGAAAGCUAUUUGUCAAUAAGCAUCCCAUUGACAUAGCAGAUACUUUCAUCCACACGGUGGGCACCAUCCUCUCUAGAGACAACGCCGGAAAGAAUUUCACCUUUUCAAUGAGAGUUAACGACACCAGCGACGUGGUCACGGGGAAGGUAUUGAUCAGUAGAGAGGAACUGCGGGAGGUGCCUUCUCCUUCUCGGGCCGUCAGCAUCGCAUUUCCAACUCUGGGGGCCAUCUUAGAAGCCAGUGUGUUGGAAAGCAUCACCGUGAAUGGGCUUGUCCUGUCUGUCAUUCUGCCCAAGGAACUUGAAAAAAUCUCACUGAUUUUUGAAAAGAUCAGCAAGUCAGAGGACAGGACGGCACAGUGUGCAGGCUGGCACUCCUUAGAGGGCAGAUGGGACCGCAAGGUCUGCCAGAUGAUUGAGGAGAACUCCCAGCAGGCGGUCUGCAAAUGUAGCCCGAGCAAGGCGUUUACCUCUUUCUCGAUUCUGAUGGCACCCCACGUCUUGCAGAGCCCCAUCCUGAUUUACAUCACGUACAUAGGCCUGGGUGUUUCUAUUUGCAGCUUGAUCCUCUGCUUGUCCAUCGAGGCCUUGGUCUGGGGCCAGGUGACGAAGACAGAGAUCUCAUACUUACGCCACGUGUGCAUUGCCAACAUUGCGACCACCUUACUGAUGGCUGAUGUGUGGUUCGUCGUGGCUUCCUUUCUCAGCGGUCCAACGAAGCACCACAGCGCAUGCGUGGCAGCAACCUUUUUUGUUCAUUUCUUUUACCUUUCUGUGUUUUUCUGGAUGCUCGCCAAGGCACUCCUCAUCCUCUACGGAAUCCUGAUAGUCUUCCAUACAUUGCCCAAGUCCGUCCUGGUGGCAGCUCUCUUUGCAGUGGGCUACGGGUGCCCUUUGCUCAUCGCUGCUAUCACGGUCGCUGCCACUGAGCCUGGCAAAGGUUAUCUCCGGCCUGAGGCCUGUUGGCUCAACUGGGACAUGACCAAGGCCCUUCUGGCUUUUGUGGUUCCGGCUCUGGCCAUCGUGGUUGUCAACCUGGUCACAGUCACACUGGUGAUUGUCAAGACCCGGCGAGUGGCCAUUGGCAGUUCCGUGUUCCAGGAAGUGAGGGCCAUCGUGAGGAUCAGUAAAAACAUUGCCAUCCUCACGCCACUGCUGGGACUGACCUGGGGAUUCGGCAUAGCCACGGUCCUCAAUGACGGCUCGCUGGCGUGCCACAUCAUCUUCUCCCUGCUCAACGCCUUCCAGGGCUUCUUCAUCCUGGUGUUUGGAACAAUCCUGGAUCCGAAGAUAAGAGAUGCCUUAAAGGAUCGAAUAAACUCUGCACAAUGGGUCUCCAGGAUAUCAGAGAACGUCUCUUCUGAUUUCUCUCAUCACCCCACCAAAGUGCCACGCUAGUAAGCCAGGCUAUACUCCUAACUUGGGAGGUCAUACAUUUCAGGAGUGGCAGAGACCCCAGGAGAAACGUCCUGAUUCGUGUCUUCUUGCCUCCGAAGAGUAUGAAGGACGCCUCCCUCUUGGUGGUGCUGACAGAGGAGGGCAUGAAGAGAGGAUGGAAAGCCCCUCUGUCUAAGCUGUUCUGUGUUGCUGACGUUUUCCCCAUCCACUGUCUACAUAUAUAUGCCAUGCUGGGUAUCCAACAGCGGACACCAGAACCUGGUCUUGCCAGGGUCUCCAGCCUCGUGUUGUUGGAAUCAGGAAGAGAACUCUGGCUUGUCUUGGCAGUGGUGGCCAGGGAUGUCACCCAGCUAGAUUCUAUAGGUGGCUAAGGGAGGGCCCUCAUGCAUAGUCACCAACAUUGGGCCGAUUCUAAGUAGGUCAUUGUUCUUUGUACAAAAAGAAUUCAAGGGCCAAUAUGUUCCACUCCUCCACAUUUAAACUGAUUGCAUGGUCAGCCUAGCGUGGGCUUAGAUACAACUUUUUUGGCCGUGAACCAAGCAAAAAGCAUUGAGCUUUUGAACCAGAAAGGUGUUUAAGUUAAGGAGACUGAAGGCUGGAGUGAUAAGUAACAGCUAAUAGAGAUUUGAGCCAGAGGUAAAAACCCAAGUCUGUUGGUUCCUAGCCCUGGACUUUCUCCUCAAGACUACGGAGCCACCGAGGGUCUCUGUCUACUCUGACUAUGUAAGAGGUGCUUGCAUGCUAAGUUGCUUCAGUGGUGUCUGACUCUUUGUCACCCUGUGGGAUGUAGACUGCCAGGCCUCUCUGUCCAUGGGCUUCUCCAGGCAAGAAUACUGGAGAGGGUUUCCAUGCCCUUCUCCAGGGGACCUUCAAGAUCCAGGAAUCAAACACAUGUCUCCUGUCUCCUGCAUUGGCAGGCGGGUUCUUCACCACUAGCGCCACCUGGGAAGCCCAUGUAAGAUGAACCCCCACCAACAAUAUGGUGUUUUGAAACCUGGGAUGAGAAAGGAGAAAUAUUAUAUUUCAAGUAGAGAGCUACUGAUUUUCUUACCUUGUAUGUAAACAAAUUCAACAUUCAAAUCAGGAGCCACCUGAUAAUAGAACAGUAUUACAGAUAAAAAUCCUUCUGGGGAAAAAAAAAAAAAAAAAAAGGUCCUUUUUAAAGCAAGCACACAAUCAGAUGCAGAAGAAAAAAAAAAAAGUCAUGGAUAAAGGGCAAGUGGCAAUGAGUAGCCCUUAGUUAUCUCCCCAUGAAGUCAGUACUGGGACUUUCCUGGUGGUCCAGUGGUUCAGAGUCCAAGCUCCUGAUGCAGGGGGGCUGAAGUUUGAUCCCUGGUCAGGGAACUAGAUCCCACAUGCUGCAACUAAGAGCACACAUCCUGCAACUGAGACCCUGCCCAGCCAAAUAAAUAAAUCAGUUUUUAAAGUUAUAUACA
rnacentral:lncRNA from 1 species